GCUGGGCGUGGUGGCGCACGCCUGUAAUCCCAGCUACUCGGGAGGCUGAGGCAGGAGAAUUGCUUGAACCCGGGAGGCGGAGGUUGCAGUGAGCUGGGAUUGUGCCACUGCACUCCAGCCUGGGCAACAGAGCAAGACUCCAUCUCAA
ensembl:misc_RNA Metazoa_SRP Metazoan signal recognition particle RNA